rnacentral:rRNA from 1 species
UGGGGAAUAUUGGACAAUGGGCGCAAGCCUGAUCCAGCCAUGCCGCGUGAGUGAUGAAGGCCCUAGGGUUGUAAAGCUCUUUCAACGGUGAAGAUAAUGACGGUAGCAGGUAAAGAAACCCCGGCUAACUCCGUGCCAGCAGCCGCGGUAAUACGGAGGGGGUUAGCGUUGUUCGGAAUUACUGGGCGUAAAGAGUUCGUAGGCGGACUAGCAAGUUAGAGGUGAAAUCCCAGGGCUCAACCCCGGAACUGCCUCCAAAACUAUUGGUCUAGAGACCGGAAGAGGUUAGGGGAAUACCUAGUGUAGAGGUGAAAUUCGUAGAUAUUAGGUGGAACACCAGUGGCGAAGGCGCCUAACUGGUCCGGUACUGACGCUGAGGAACGAAAGCGUGGGGAGCAAACAGGAUUAGAUACCCUGGUAGUCCACGCCGUAAACGAUGAGUGCUAGAUGUUGGGAUUUUCGGAUUUCAGUGUCGCAGCUAACGCAUUAAGCACUCCGCCUGGGGAGUACGGCCGCAGG